UACGGGGGGGGCAAGCGUAGUUCGGAAUUACUGGGCGUAAAGGGUUCGUAGGUGGCGUGCUAAGUCAGACGUGAAAUCCCUCAGCUUAACUGGGGAACUGCGUCUGAGACUGGCAGGCUCGAGUGCAGGAGAGGAACGCGGAAUUCCAGGUGUAGCGGUGAAAUGCGUAGAGAUCUGGAAGAACACCAAAGGCGAAGGCAGCAUCCUGGCUCGUCUCUGACGCUCAUGUGCGAAAGCUAGGGGAGCGAACGGG
rnacentral:rRNA from 1 species